CACAUGCAGUCGCACGGUCAGCAAUGGCAGUGGCGGACGGGUGAGUAACACGUAGGAAUCUAUCCAGAGGUGGGGGACAACAGCGGGAAACUGCUGCUAAUACCGCAUGAUACCUGAGGGUCAAAGGCGCAAGUCGCCUUUGGAGGAGCCUGCGUCUGAUUAGCUUGUUGGUGGGGUAAAGGCUUACCAAGGCGACGAUCAGUAGCUGGUCUGAGAGGAUGAUCAGCCACAUUGGGACUGAGACACGGCCCAAACUCCUACGGGAGGCAGCAGUGGGGAAUAUUGGACAAUGGGCGCAAGCCUGAUCCAGCAAUGCCGCGUGUGUGAAGAAGGUCUUCGGAUUGUAAAGCACUUUUGGCAGGGACGAUGAUGACGGUACCUGCAGAAUAAGCCCCGGCUAACUUCGUGCCAGCAGCCGCGGUAAUACGAAGGGGGCUAGCGUUGCUCGGAAUGACUGGGCGUAAAGGGCGUGUAGGCGGCAUGUACAGUCAGAAGUGAAAUUCCUGGGCUCAACCUGGGGACUGCUUUUGAUACGUGCAAGCUUGAGUGAGGAAGAGGGUUGUGGAAUUUCCAGUGUAGAGGUGAAAUUCGUAGAUAUUGGAAAGAACACCGGUGGCGAAGGCGGCAACCUGGUCCUUUACUGACGCUGAGGCGCGAAAGCGUGGGGAGCAAACAGGAUUAGAUACCCUGGUAGUCCACGCUGUAAACGAUGUGUGCUGGAUGUUGGGAAACUUAGUUUUUCAGUGUCGUAGCUAACGCGAUAAGCACACCGCCUGGGGAGUACGGCCGCAAGGUUGAAACUCAAAGGAAUUGACGGGGGCCCGCACAAGCGGUGGAACAUGUGGUUUAAUUCGAAGCAACGCGCAGAACCUUACCAGGAUUUGACAUGGGGAGGCUUGGUACAGAGAUGUAUCUUUCCCGCAAGGGACCUUCCGCACAGGUGCUGCAUGGCUGUCGUCAGCUCGUGUCCUGAGAUGUUGGGUUAAGUCCCGCAACGAGCGCAACCCUCGCCUUUAGUUGCCAUCAUUUAGUUGGGCACUCUAAAGGAACUGCCGGUGACAAGCCGGAGGAAGGUGGGGAUGACGUCAAGUCCUCAUGGCCCUUA
rnacentral:rRNA from 1 species